CCUACGGGAGGCAGCAGUGAGGAAUAUUGGUCAAUGGGCGCUAGCCUGAACCAGCCAAGUAGCGUGAAGGAUGACUGCCCUCUGGGUUGUAAACUUCUUUUAUAUGGGAGUAAAGUGCAGUAUGUAUACUGCUUUGCAUGUACCUUAUGAAUAAGGAUCGGCUAACUCCGUGCCAGCAGCCGCGGUAAUACGGAGGAUCCGAGCGUUAUCCGGAUUUAUUGGGUGUAAAGGGAGCGUAGGCGGGUGGUUAAGUCAGAUGUGAAAUGUGGCGGCUCAACCGUAGAAUUGCAGUUGAUACUGGCAUGCUGGAGUACAGUAGAGGUAGGCGGAAUUCUUGGUGUAGCGGUGAAAUGCGUAGAUAUCACGAAGAACACCGAUUGCGAAGGCGGCCUGCUGGACUGUAACUGACGCUGAUGCUCGAAAGUGUGGGGAGCAAACAGGAUUAGAUACCCGAGUAGUC
rnacentral:rRNA from 1 species